rnacentral:rRNA from 1 species
ACUGAACGCUGGCGGCAGGCCUAACACAUGCAAGUCGAGCGGUUGACGGGAGCUUGCUCCCUGAUUCAGCGGCGGACGGGUGAGUAAUGCCUAGGAAUCUGCCUAUUAGUGGGGGACAACGUUUCGAAAGGAACGCUAAUACCGCAUACGUCCUACGGGAGAAAGCAGGGGACCUUCGGGCCUUGCGCUAAUAGAUGAGCCUAGGUCGGAUUAGCUUGUUGGUGAGGUAAUGGCUCACCACGGCGACGAUCCGUAACUGGUCUGAGAGGAUGACCAGUCACACUGGAACGGAGACACGGUCCAGACUCCUACGGGAGGCAGCAGUGGGGAAUAUUGGACAAUGGGAGAAAGCCUGAUCCAGCCAUGCCGCGUGUGUGAAGAAGGUCUUCGGAUUGUAAAGCACUUUAAGUUGGGAGGAAGGGUUGUAGAUUAAUACUCUGCAAUUUUGACGUUACCGACAGAAUAAGCACCGGCUAACUCUGUGCCAGCCGCCGCCGUAAAAC